GGUUACGACAAUUGGCUGGCUGCAGCAGGUGAUGGCAUCACUUACGUUGGGACGUCACGCAUUCUAUUGAUAUGGCACAUCCACAAAGGGAAGUGAAUUUUCAAAGCAGCGGAGGCACGGCUUGAAAUGGUCAGAGCAUGGUGUCUACGUGUGGGGGCAACUCCCCACCACGACGACGACGACGACCACCACACACGUCGACACCGGCGCUGUAUGCAUGUUCUUGUAAGUAUGUCU